rnacentral:rRNA from 1 species
UACGAAGGGUGCAAGCGUUACUCGGAAUUACUGGGCGUAAAGCGUGCGUAGGUGGUUCGUUAAGUCUGUCGUGAAAGCCCCGGGCUCAACCUGGGAAUGGCGAUGGAUACUGGCGGGCUAGAGUGCGGUAGAGGGUGGUGGAAUUCCUGGUGUAGCGGUGAAAUGCGUAGAUAUCGGGAGGAACAUCAGUGGCGAAGGCGACCGCCUGGCCCAACACUGACGCUGAGGUGCGAAAGCGUGGGUAGCAAACAGG